UACAGAGGGGGCAAGCGUUGUUCGGAAUUACUGGGCGUAAAGGGCGCGUAGGCGGCCUUCUAAGUCGAACGUGAAAUCCCCGGGCUCAACCCGGGAACUGCGUCCGAUACUGGAAGGCUUGAAUCCGGGAGAGGGAUGCGGAAUUCCAGGUGUAGCGGUGAAAUGCGUAGAUAUCCGGAGGAACACCGGUGGCGAAGGCGGCAUCCUGGACCGGCAUUGACGCUGAGACGCGAAAGCGUGGGGAGCGAACAGG
rnacentral:rRNA from 1 species